GGGCCCGCACAAGCGGCGGAGCAUGCGGAUUAAUUCGAUGCAACGCGAAGAACCUUACCUGGGUUUGACAUCACUUGAAAACUCGCAGAGAUGCGGGGUCCUUCGGGGCGGGUGACAGGUGGUGCAUGGCUGUCGUCAGCUCGUGUCGUGAGAUGUUGGGUUAAGUCCCGCAACGAGCGCAACCCUCGUUCCAUGUUGCCAGCGGGUUAUGCCGGGGACUCAUGGGAGACUGCCGGGGUCAACUCGGAGGAAGGUGGGGAUGACGUCAAGUCAUCAUGCCCCUUAUGUCCAGGGCUUCACGCAUGCUACAAUGGCCGGUACAAUGGGCUGCGAUGCCGUGAGGUGGAGCGAAUCCCAAAAAGCCGGUCUCAGUUCGGAUCGGGGUCUGCAACUCGACCCCGUGAAGUCGGAGUCGCUAGUAAUCGCAGAUCAGCAGUGCUGCGGUGAAUACGUUCCCGGGCCUU
rnacentral:rRNA from 1 species